GAUGAACGCUAGCGGCAGGCUUAAUACAUGCAAGUCGAGGGGUAGCAAGAUUGUAGCAAUACAAUUGUUGACGACCGGCAAACGGGUGCGGAACACGUACACAACCUUCCUACAAGUGGGGAAUAGCCCAGAGAAAUUUGGAUUAAUACCCCGUAACAUAGCGAUGUGGCAUCACAUUGCUAUUAUAGCUUCGGCGCUUGUUGAUGGGUGUGCGGCUGAUUAGAUAGUUGGCGGGGUAACGGCCCACCAAGUCUACGAUCAGUAGCUGAUGUGAGAGCAUGAGCAGCCACCCGGGAACGGAGACACGGGCACGACUCCUACGGGAGGCAGCAGUAAGGAAUAUUGGACAAUGGACGCAAGUCUGAUCCAGCCAUGCCGCGUGAAGGAUUAAGGUCCUCUGGAUUGUAAACUUCUUUUAUAAGGGACGAAAAAAGGUCUUUCUAGAUCGUCUGACGGUACCUUAUGAAUAAGCACCGGCUAACUCCGUGCCAGCAGCCGCCGCCGUAA
rnacentral:rRNA from 1 species